rnacentral:lncRNA from 1 species
GUCAGUCAGACCUCACCUUUGAUCCUUGUCUGAUUUGUGUCGCAUAACUAUUGUACUAUAGAACACAUACUCAGUUUUCUUUACAGGGAAACCAGUCCAUUCAUACUAUUACAUGUUCGUACUAAGUCAACAUGUACUACUAACAGUCAACUAAAACCAACGUUAACUACCAACUAGAACAACUACAAUCAUUGCGAACUUGUACCACUGCAGACUCACCAUAAAAAUAUACAUUUAUAUAUUCAUUGCUAUUGAAACCUUGAUAACAUACAAAUUAUUUGCCUUAAUAAUUAAUUCAUUAGAUAAACAUAAAUGUACAAUAUAUGAAUGUUUAAUGCCACAUCAGAGGCGGAUUUAGAGGGUUUUUCAGUGGCCCCCCUAACCC